AUUGAACGCUGGCGGCAUGCCUUACACAUGCAAGUCGAACGGUAGCAGGUCUUCGGAUGCUGACGAGUGGCGAACGGGUGAGUAAUACAUCGGAACGUGCCCGAUCGUGGGGGAUAGCGAAGCGAAAGCUUUGCUAAUACCGCAUAAGAUCUACGGAUGAAAGCAGGGGACCGCAAGGCCUUGCGCGAACGGAGCGGCCGAUGGCAGAUUAGGUAGUUGGUGGGAUAAAAGCUUACCAAGCCGACGAUCUGUAGCUGGUCUGAGAGGACGACCAGCCACACUGGGACUGAGACACGGCCCAGACUCCUACGGGAGGCAGCAGUGGGGAAUUUUGGACAAUGGGCGAAAGCCUGAUCCAGCCAUGCCGCGUGCAGGAUGAAGGCCUUCGGGUUGUAAACUGCUUUUGUACGGAACGAAAAGACUCUUUCUAAUAAAGAGGGUCCAUGACGGUACCGUAAGAAUAAGCACCGUCUAACUACGUGCCAGCCGCCGCGGUAACAC
rnacentral:rRNA from 1 species